AGGUUAGUAUUUAAAACAAAUAAAAUCUAAUUUGCAUUUAGAAAUCGUGGUAGCACCUAGCCUU
rnacentral:tRNA from 1 species